GAUGAACGCUGGCGGCGUGCUUAACACAUGCAAGUCGAACGAUGAAGCCCAGCUUGCUGGGUGGAUUAGUGGCGAACGGGUGAGUAACACGUGAGUAACCUGCCCUUAACUCUGGGAUAAGCCUGGGAAACUGGGUCUAAUACCGGAUAGGAGCGUCUACCGCAUGGUGGGUGUUGGAAAGAUUUAUCGGUUUUGGAUGGACUCGCGGCCUAUCAGCUUGUUGGUGAGGUAAUGGCUCACCAAGGCGACGACGGGUAGCCGGCCUGAGAGGGUGACCGGCCACACUGGGACUGAGACACGGCCCAGACUCCUACGGGAGGCAGCAGUGGAGAAUAUUGCACAAUGGGCGCAAGCCUGAUGCAGCGACGCCGCGUGAGGGAUGACGGCCUUCGGGUUGUAAACCUCUUUCAGUAGGGAAGAAGCGAAAGUGACGGUACCUGCAGAAGAAGCACCGGCUAACUACGUG
rnacentral:rRNA from 1 species